AUUCAGAGGUCCCAUCGUCCGAAGAAAACCUGCCGCCAAAAUAUCUACUCUGUAUCGGAUCUGCCGGGGUAGAGGCAUUUUCAACCGAGUCUCCCAUACGCACGGUGAUUAUCCAGAUUAAGUCUGGCAAAGAUGAGAUGAGGAAUUUCACGGCCUCCUCAAUCCACACAUCUUCCGCAGAUGGGCCACUCUCAUGAUACUCGGGAAUCAGAACAAUCUAGUCAUCACUAGGUCGGCUUCUCGAGUGUCUGGGAGAGCUUUGUUGGUCAUUCCAGUCUGUGGAACCGGUUGAACUCCGGUAGCGGCAUGCAGAUAAGGCAAUCCUCAAAAGGUCUAUUGUUUCUGAUUGGUAUCGGCGAGGGUAUCGCAUCGGCUAUGUUGCACCAAAUUGUGAGUCUUCAUCGAUUUAUCAAACCAUUGCAACGGGUAUCGCUUCUCUUCGAUUUGAUAUACGUGGAUAUGAUUCAAUAACAGUCCAGAUUGAAGCCGCAUACGCCCUACCCUCUGGUCACUUAUACGCUGCUAAUCACCGGGAGGACCGUGGUAAAUGACAACAAAAACAAGGAUGGUCCAAUUCUUUGGUUCGACAGUAACCAAAUCGGGUAAGGUCGAUAUUAACUGCCAGCCCCUGACCGUUAUC